UCAGCUCUUAGGGGAAGCCAGCUGCGGUGUCAAGAGGACACGCAAGCAGCCCUACAGUUUCUUGGGGUAAGUAACUGAGGCCUGCUGCCAGCAACCAGCACCAAUUAGCAAUUAGGUGAUUGAGCCAUGUGGGAGGUGGAUUCUUCAGCCCCAGUGCGACGUUCAGUGACUGUAACCCCAGCUGACAUUUUGAUUCCAACCUUUUGAGGGACUCUGAGGCAGAACCACCAAGCUGAGUUCCCAGCCCACAGAAACUGUGUGAGGCACUGUGUCAGAAACUGGGAAUAAAACCACGAACAAGAGUCUGCUCUUAAGCAACUGACAUCUAAUCUGUGUUUUAGCAGAAGGGGUGCCCAGAAGUCAAAGUCCAGACAUUUAAAAGCCCAAAACUGUUGUCUUAACACAAUUCUGAAGAACUAUCAUGGUUCCAGAGCUUCUCAGAAGGUUGUCUGAGGUCUCAGUUAAACUGCGUGGCAGUUCAGAAAACACCAGCGGUCAUAGGACUUGUCCCAUCAUCUGCACAAGGCUGGUGAAUGGCUCAGGUAGAAUGAAAACUGACAACCCAGACCACUUAAUCUGUGGAGAGUCCAGGGGCCAGACACAAUGAGGAUAAGCACUGCAAGGAAGACGAUCGCAAACCAGCCUCUGGAAAACCCAUCCAUACACGCUGCAAGUUCUCUUUUUAUAGACUGAAAUGGAAGUGUAUUUAUUUGGUUUUCUAUAUAAAUUUUCCUUGGAACUGAGGGCUUAUUCACUUCAUUACCUCCAGCAGACUUAUAGUGAGAAUAGAAUUUGUCAACAAUUACUUAAUAUGGAAACUUGGCAAUGUAGAAAAUGAUUUUACAUUCUUAAACUUGAACAAGGACAUUCAGACAGCAGAAAAACUAAUUAGUUUAACCCUUGGUAACAGAAUAACUGACUUGAUUAGGAAUUGAGCAUGGGUGUAGCAAUGCUUAGUUGUACUGAUUCACAAGAGCAGAGCCUAUUGUUAAAAUUUCAGAAAUUCUGCAAACUUGUUGAUGCCAUAGAGUCUUUGUUAAAAAUUUAAUUAUGUAGACUCAUAAUUAAAUAAAUUACAUCAAAAACAAAGCUAAAAUAGUUGU